GAUGAACGCUGGCGGCGUGCUUAACACAUGCAAGUCGAACGGAAAGGCUCCUGCUUGCCGGGGUCCUCGAGUGGCGAACGGGUGAGUAACACGUGGGUGAUCUGCCCUGCACUUCGGGAUAGGCCUGGGAAACUGGGUCUAAUACCGGAUAGGACCACAUUUUGGAUGGUGUGGUGGAAAGUUUUUCGGUGUGGGAUGAGCUCGCGGCCUAUCAGCUUGUUGGUGGGGUAAUGGCCUACCAAGGCGUCGACGGGUAGCCGGCCUGAGAGGGUGUACGGCCACAUUGGGACUGAGAUACGGCCCAGACUCCUACGGGAGGCAGCAGUGGGGAAUAUUGCACAAUGGGCGCAAGCCUGAUGCAGCGACGCCGCGUGGGGGAUGACGGCCUUCGGGUUGUAAACUCCUUUCGCUAGGGACGAAGCGCAAGUGACGGUACCUGGAGAAGAAGCACCGGCUAACUACGUG
rnacentral:rRNA from 1 species